AGGGUAGAUGUGAACCUAACGGUACGUCUGAAGCUUUGAUUACCACUUGAGGAGAACAAGGCCCGAUCUUCCGAAAGGUUCUGGUAACUGUCGAUUUGGUUGAAACGAGACACAAAUCAAUCCAGUUUGCGAACAACACGAUUCGAAACCCUACAAUUCUUUUUAUUGAUAUUUUUCUUUUACUUAGGAGCACUGAAGAAGUAACCACAAGAAAUUUGAGCUUAAACAAGUGAAGGACGUGGCCUGUGGAAUUUUUUGAAGAUUGCGAAAAAUAUGAAAAUAAAGUUUAGGAGGUGAAAACUCAAAUUUUCAGAGGCGAGUAUGGGAAUUCUAAAUUUGUCGCACCGGCCUAUGGCGGGGAUAGACAGAUCCAAAAAAUUUUCUGAUCGAUUUUGAUAUAUGGAACGUCAAAAUCGGAGUUCGUAGGCGAAAGUUAUGGCUGCUUUACGAACGGACUCUGAAUUAUAGGACAAAACGGUCCGGAAGUGGGAAAAAUUUGCGGUGGUGGCUAGAAAUUAAUGGAAACGGUGGGAAAAACACACAAACUGGACUCUAACAAGACCAAAUUAGUAACAAGACCUCGACCAGGACACAAACUCAACACGGACUAUGAAACUGAAAUAUGCAAAGGUUAUGGCGCGGAUGGGUUGUAGGACAUGAAAACAAUUUGGCACUAGACUUAUGGGACGAACACAAGGACACUCGAAACUAAGGGUAGAUGUGAACCUAACGGUACGUCUGAAGCUUUGAUUACCACUUGAGGAGAACAAGGCCCGAUCUUCCGAAAGGUUCUGGUAACUAUCAAUUUGGUGGAAACGAGACACAAAUUAAUCCAGUUUGCGAACAACACGAUUCCAAACCCUGCAAUUCUUUUUAUUUUUUUUGAUAUUUUUUUUUACUUCGGAGCACUCAAGAAGUAACCACAGAAAAUUUGAGCUUAAACAAGUGAAGGACGUGGCCUGUGGAAUUUUUUGAAGAUUGCGAAAAAUAUGAAAAUAAAGUUUAGGAGGUGAAAACUCAAAUUUUCAGAGGCGAGUUUGGGAAGUCUAAAUUUGUCGCACCCGCCUAUGGUGGGGAUAGACAGAUCCAAAAAUUUUUCUGAUCGAUUUUGAUAUAUGGAACGUCAAAAUCAGAGUUCGUAGGCGAAAGUUAUGGCUGUUUUACGAACGGACUCUGAAUUAGAGGACAAAACGGUCCGGAAGUGGGAAAAUUUUGCGGUGGUGGCUAUAAAUUGAUGGAAACGGUGGGAAGAAACACACAAAUUGGACUCUAACAAGAUCUAACCAGUAACAAGAUCUCGACUAGGACACAAAAUCAACACUACAGACUCUGAAACUGAAAUAUGCAAAGGCUAUGGCGCGGAUGGGUUGUAGGACAUGAAAACAAUAUAGCACUAGACUUAUGGGACGAACACAAGGACACUCGAAACUAAGGAUAGAUGUGAACCUAACGGUACGUCUGAAGCUUUGAUUAACACUUGAGGAGAACAAGUGUGGCCCGAUCUUGCGAAAGGUUCUAGUAACUAUCAAUUUGGUGGAAACGAGACCCAAAUCAAUCCAUCUUGCGAACAACGCGGUUCGAAACUCUGCAAUUCUUUUUAUUUUUUUUUGAUAUUUUUAUUUUACUUAGGAGCACUCAAGAAGUAACCAUAGGAAAUUUGAGCUUAAACAAGUGAAAGACUUGGCCUGUGGAAUUUUUUGAAGAUUGCGAAAAAUAUAAAAAAACAUUAGGAGGUGAAAACUCAAACUUCAGGAGCGAAUUUGGGGAUUCUAAAAUUAUCGAACCCACCUCUAGCGGAGAUAGACAGAUCCAAAAAUUUGUUGUGAUCGAUUCUGAUAUAUGGAACGUCAAUAUCGGAGUUCGUAUGCGAAAGUUAUGGCUGUUUUACGAACGGACUCCGAAUUAGAGGACAAAACGGUCCGGAAGUGGGAAAAAUUUGUGGUGGUGGCUAGAAAUUGAUGGAAACGGUGGGAAAAAACACACAAACUGGACUCUAACAAGACCAAAUCAGUAACAAGACCUCGACCAGGACACAAACUCAACACUACGGACUCUGAAACUGAAAUAUGCAAAGGUUAUGGCGCGGAUGGGUUGUAGGACAUAAAAAUAAUUUGGCACUAGACUUAUGGGAGGAACACAAGGACACUCAAAACUAAGGGUAGAUGUGAACCUAACGGUACGUCUCAAGCUUUGAUUACCACUUGAGGAGAACAAGGCCCGAUCUUCCGAAAGGUUCUGGUUACUAUCGAUUUGGUGGAAACGAGACACAAAUCAAUCCAGUUUGCGAACAACACGAUUCGAAACCCUACAAUUCUUUUUUUUGAUAUUUUUCUUUUAAUUAGGAGCACUCAAGAAGUAACCACAAGAAAUUUGAGCUUAAACAAGUGAAGGACGUGGCCUUUGGAAUUUUUUGAAGAUUGCGAAAAAUAUGAAAAUAAAGUUUAGGAGGUGAAAACUCAAAUUUUCAGAGGCGAGUUUGGGAAUUCUAAAUUUGUCGCACCCGCCUAUGGCGGGGAUAGACAAAUCCAAAAAUUUUUCUGAUCGACUUUGAUAUAUGGAACGUCAAAAUCGGAGUUCGUAGGCGAAAGUUAUGGCUGUUUUACGAACGGACUCUGAAUUAGAGGACAAAACGGUGCGGAAGUGGGAAAAAAUUGCGGUGGUGGCUAGAAAUUGAUGGAAACGGUGGGAAAAACACACAAACUGGACUCUAACAAGACCAAAUUAGUAACAAGACCUCGACCAAGACACAAACUCAACACUACGGACUAUGAAACUCAAAUAUGCAAAGGUUAUGGCGCGGAUGGGUUGUAGGACAUGAAAACAAUUUGGCACUAGACUUAUGGGACGAACGCAAGGACACUCGAAACUAAGGGUAGAUGUGAACCUAACGGUACGUCUGAAGCUUUGAUUACCACUUGAGGAGAACAAGGCCCGAUCUUCCGAAAGGUUCUGGUAACUAUCGAUUUCAUGGAAACGAGACACAAAUUAAUCCAGUUUGCGAACAACACGAUUCGAAACCCUGCAAUUCUUUUUAUUUUUUUGAUAUUUUUCUUUUACUUAGGAGCACUCAAGAAGUAACCACAGGAAAUUUGAGCUUAAACAAGUGAAGGACGUGGCCUGUGGAAUUUUUUGAAGAUUGCGAAAAAUAUGAAAAUAAAGUUUAGGAGGUGAAAACUCAAAUUUUCAGAGGCGAGUUUGGGAAUUCUAAAUUUGUCGCACCCGCCUAUGGUGGGGCUAGACAGAUCCAAAAAUUUUUCUGAUCGAUUUUGAUAUAUGAAACGUCAAAAUCAGAGUUCGUAGGCGAAAGUUAUGGCUGUUUUACGAACGGACUCUGAAUUAGAGGACAAAACGGUCCGGAAGUGGGAAAAUUUUGUGGUGGUGGCUAUAAAUUGAUGGAAACGGUGGGAAGAAACACACAAAUUGGACUCUAACAAGACCUAACCAGUAACAAGAUCUCGACCAGGACACAAACUCAACACUACAGACUCUGAAACUGAAAUAUGCAAAGGCUAUGGCGCGGAUGGGUUGUAGGACAUGAAAACAAUAUAGCACUAGACUUAUGGGACGAACACAAGGACACUCGAAACUAAGUAUAGAUGUGAACCUAACGGUACGUCUGAAGCUUUGAUUAACACUUGAGGAGAACAAGUGUGGCCCGAUCUUCCGAAAGGUUCUAGUAACUAUCAAUUUGGUGGAAACGAGACCCAAAUCAAUCCAUCUUGCGAACAACGCGGUUCGAAACCCUGCAAUUCUUUUUAUUUUUUUUGAUAUUUUUCUUUUACUUAGGAGCACUCAAGAAGUAACCAUAGGAAACUUCAGCUUAAACAAGUGAAAGACUUGGCCUGUGGAAUUUUUUGAAGAUUGCGAAA
rnacentral:lncRNA from 1 species